rnacentral:rRNA from 1 species
UGUCAGCCGCCGCGGUAAUACGUAGGUGACUAGCGUUGUUCGGAUUUAUUGGGCGUAAAGGGUCCGCAGGGGGUCGGCUAAGUCUGAUGUGAAAUACCAAGGCUCAACCUUGGAACUGCAUUGGAAACUGGUUGGCUAGAGUAUCGGAGAGGAGAUUGGAAUUCCUGGUGUAGCGGUGGAAUGCGUAGAUAUCAGGAGGAACACCAAAGGCGAAGGCAGAUCUCUGGACGAUUACUGACCCUCAGGGACGAAAGUAUGGGGAUCAAACAGGAUUAGAUACCCUGGUAGUCCAUACUGUAAACGUUGUGAACUUGACGUGGGAGGAUUUAGUCCCUUCCGUGUCGGAGCUAACGCGAUAAGUUCACCGCCUGGGGACUACGGCCGCAAGGCUAAAACUUAAAGGAAUUGACGG